rnacentral:lncRNA from 1 species
AAGCAAUAGGGCUAGUAUAUUCAGUGUAUGGAAGGACUGUAAGGUGUACAUGUCCAACUGGCAGGUGUCAUCUGACCUUGACCUCAUUUUCAUGGUUCAGUGGUUAUAGUUAAAUUUUUGCGUUUUGGUCUGUUUUUCUCAUACUAUAUGCAAUAGGUCUACUAUAUUUGUUGUAUGGAAUGAUUGUAAGGUGUACAUGUCUAUCGGGCAGAUGUCAUGUGACCUUGACCUCAUUUUCAUGGUUCAGUGGUCAAAGUUAAAUUUUUGUGUUUUGGUCUGUUUUUCUCAUACUAUAUGCAAUAGGUCUACUAUAUUUGUUGUAUGGAACAAUUGUAAGGUGUACAUGUCUAACGGGCAGAUGUCAUGUGACCUUGACCUCAUUUUCAUGGUUCAGUGGUCAACGUUAAGUUUUUGAGUUUUGGUCUUUUUAACU